rnacentral:snoRNA from 1 species
UGUCUACACUCAGUGUUCUGACCUGUGAACAUCUGAAGGAUUAG